rnacentral:rRNA from 1 species
AGCGAACGCUGGCGGCAGGCCUAACACAUGCAAGUCGAACGAACUCUUCGGAGUUAGUGGCUGACGGGUGAGUAACACGUGGGAACGUGCCUUUAGGUUCGGAAUAACUCAGGGAAACUUGUGCUAAUACCGAAUGUGCCCUUCGGGGGAAAGAUUUAUCGCCUUUAGAGCGGCCCGCGUCUGAUUAGCUAGUUGGUGGGGUAAUGGCCCACCAAGGCUACGAUCAGUAGCUGGUCUGAGAGGAUGACCAGCCACAUUGGGACUGAGACACGGCCCAAACUCCUACGGGAGGCAGCAGUGGGGAAUCUUGCGCAAUGGGCGAAAGCCUGACGCAGCCAUGCCGCGUGGAUGAUGAAGGUCUUAGGAUUGUAAAAUCCUUUCACCGGUGAAGAUAAUGACUGUAGCCGGAGAAGAAGCCCCGGCUAACUUCGUGCCAGCCGCCGCCGUAAGAC